UCAGUCGACUCCUACGGGGAGGCAGCAGUGGGGAAUAUUGCACAAUGGGGGAAACCCUGAUGCAGCCAUGCCGCGUGUGUGAAGAAGGCCUUCGGGUUGUAAAGCACUUUCAGUAGGGAGGAAGGUAGUGUAGUUAACACCUGCACUAUUUGACGUUACCUACAGAAGAAGCACCGGCUAACUCCGUGCCAGCAGCCGCGGUAAUACGGAGGGUGCGAGUGUUAAUCGGAAUUACUGGGCGUAAAGCGCAUGCAGGCGGCCUGUUAAGUCAGAUGUGAAAGCCCGGGGCUUAACCUCGGAAUUGCAUUUGAAACUGGCAGGCUAGAGUCUUGUAGAGGGGGGUAGGAAUUUCAGGUGUAGCGGUGAAAUGCGUAGAGAUCUGAAGGAAUACCAGUGGCGAAGGCGGCCCCCUCGGACAAAGACUGACGCUCAGAUGCGAAAGCGUGGGGAGCAAACAGGAUUAGAUACCCUGGUAG
rnacentral:rRNA from 1 species